GUGGGGAAUAUUGCACAAUGGGGGAAACCCUGAUGCAGCGACGCCGCGUGAGUGAAGAAGUAUUUCGGUACGUAGAGCUCUAUCAGCAAGGAAGAAAAUGACGGUACUUGACUAAGAAGCCCCGGCUAACUACGUGCCAGCAGCCGCGGUAAUACGUAGGGGGCAAGCGUUAUCCGGAUUUACUGGGUGUAAAGGGAGCGUAGACGGUAUGGUAAGUCAGAUGUGAAAGCCCGGGGCUCAACCCCGGGACUGCAUUUGAAACUAUCAGACUAGAGUGCAGGAGAGGUAAGUGGAAUUCCUAGUGUAGCGGUGAAAUGCGUAGAUAUUAGGAGGAACACCAGUGGCGAAGGCGGCUUACUGGACUGUAACUGACGUUGAGGCUCGAAAGCGUGGGGAGCAAACAGGAUUAGAAACCCGAGUAGUCC
rnacentral:rRNA from 1 species